UUUUAUCUUUAUUUCUUGUUUCGUGUAGUUUUACAUUUACAUUUUCUUCUAUUUUACUUUGUCCACUAAUAGUCACAUGUUUAUUGUGUUGUAAACUAAUAAAACUUGUAGCAUUAAACAGUAAUAUAUUAAUCUUUCAAGUUCAUUUGUUGUUGGAACUUGGAAGGAUAUAUUUCCUCACCAACAUCUAUCAUACACCACAAAUUAAAACCUUGCAAAAUUAAUAACAAUUCCUCAGAAAACUAGUACAUUAAUUAGCUUAAAAUAGAAACAACUUUUUUUUCUUUUUCUUCUUUUCGGUUAGCGGAACUAAAUUAUUAUUGUUUGAUGAGUUCUCUAAAUGUGAAAGCAUAUCUGGUGACAAGCGAAGCAAACGAAGACUUCUCUCCAUUUUAAGUUCUGUGAUACGUUUAACAGUUGCAUUAUAGUUGUUCAAAUCUACAAGUCUAGUUGUGCUUUCAUGGAACUGAAAUUGGAGCUUCGCAAGUUCCUCAUACUUACCAAUCUGUUGAUCUAGGUCUCCAACAUAUACUCCAUUGAUCUUGUUUAGUACAUCCACAGCAAUUUCCUCAACCAAUGCCAAUUCUGUUCUGUACACAAACAUCAAGAAAAAUACAGCACAUGUAAAGAUCUCAAAUUUCACAACGGAAUAAACCAAUCAUAAACAAUUCUAAGUUGCCAAAAUGAUAGACAGUUAGCUGAAUGAGAGGUUGACACCACACUUAAAAGUGUUCAACAUUCAGUUUUCCAUCUCCCCCUCAACCAACCAAAAGCUUUUCUAUCCACUUGUACUUGUCCUGUCGUUGCCGAUCUGAUCGGGACACGCCAAAUGAACACCCUUGGUCAAUAAGACUUUCAACACAAGGAGCCGGUCGAUCAUCACAUUGGAUCACUACUAAAAAAACAAAAAUUAGUGAGGGAAAACAUGAAAUUCCUCUCUAUUUCCGUCACUAAUUUCCCUCCCUAAUUUUGCCUUUCCUAGUAGUGGGAACUUGAACAAGGGUCCAUGCGAUCAUCAUAUCGGAACUUGAAUAAUCAUACAAGUGAGUAUGGUUGUUAAACUUGCGAGUCUAUGAUGGGUUUAUGAAUCUAGAAGGCACAAACGAGUGGAAUCACACAUAUAAUCUUUUUUGAGCUAGAUCGACAUACUCGUGUAGACUCGCGAGUCUAUGAUGAGUUUAUGAGUCUAAGUUUUAUUGAAAAAACAAUUUGUUUCUGAAAAGAGCUCAAACUAAACAAAAUUUGAAAGGAAACAAACUUAUAAUCCUUUUAAUUUCUUUUUCGAUCUCACUCUCAAUUUAGAAACAAAUCUCUCACUUUCACCAAAGAUACAAGAAUUCAGGUCAUACUCACCUUCGCUGACGACAUUUUCUUCUUCCUUCAUCGACGACGACGUUCUCUUGCUGUGUAUCGAAAUAUUGUUGAAAUUGAUGUUGCUAAUAAUGAUGCUCAAUGUGGUGGUAGAGGGAAUGUUGAAUUAGAUGGAAGUUAAGAUAAUCCAAGUUAGGUUACAGUCAAUGAUGAAUAAGGUGUUUUAUCUAGGGAUGAAUUUGAUAUGAUAGUCAGAAUGUUGGUGAAGAUGAUAAUGACGAUGGUUGUCAUUUUGAUGAUGAACAAGAUUUUUACAUAGGCAUUUUAUGAUUUUUGGGUAUAUACAGUAGCCAAUUAGAAAGUAAUUAGGACCUUAUCUACAUACUUUUCUACAUUGCUUGCUCUAAUAUUUUUUUUUUGUUAAAAAGUUUGUUAUUAAGUUUGAAGUUCUAUUUUUUAUGAUAAUUGGUGUUCUAUCAUAAAUAUAUAUGUCAUUUAUGUGUCACUUUAAUAUUUUUUACAGUCAAUUUUAAUUUUUCAUAAACUCAUACGAGUCUACAAGUCAAGUUUAUCAGUCGAGUGUCUACAUACCCUUUUCGAGGCUAUGUAAACUCGCGAGUCUGACAACCUUACAAGUGAGUUUAAACAAUCAUAUCAGGCCUUGACCAAAAUAAAAAAAAUAGUGAAUUGGUUAGUUCCAUGUUCAACAUUGGACUGGUCUGUUCAUUGGAUUAUUAGAAUAUUGUUAUCAAGGCUCAUUUUCACUUAUAAAUGAAAAACUUAAACCAAAAUAAUGACGAAAGAAGUUGAUUGCUAUAAAGUUACCUAUUGACAUUACAAUCCCAACCAGCAUAAUUUGCAGCUUCCAACAAACCAUUCCUCCAUUCUUGCACCUUUAUCUUCCCCUCAAAGUUGUUCUCAUGCUUAGCAAAAGCCUCAGCAUAGCUUCCUCUCUGGUUCCUAACAUCAGAAGGAUCAACGUCAUAGAAAACAGGCACUACAAUUUGCCCUUUCAUCUUUUUAAUUUCGAGUAUUUUCAUAAGCUCUUCCAAACACCAUUUUGACACCGCAUAGUUUUUAGAGAAAACAAUAACGGAGAGCUUGGCUUCUUCGAUGGCCCUAACAAGGGUGGUUGGUAUUUCAUCACCACUAUUAAGAUCAUUGUCUAUAUAGGUUCUUAUAUCUAAUCUUUUCAAAGCACCAUUAAGAUGGCUUGUGAAAUUGUUGCGAGUAUCCUCACCUCUAAAACUAAUAAACACUUCGUGCUUUUCUAGAGGAGCAUUGUUGAAUGAAGAGGAGGAAGAUGAAUAUGACCAUGCCAUAAUAAUGCUAAUGUGUAUUUGACUAUAGUUACUAGAGUAUAUAGGUAAAACUACGAAUAAUCGUUGUUUCCGACAACUCAGGCCUCAGGGUUUGAAUUUUAUGGUUAAUUCGAUGUACGACCCCGGUACUUAUAAUAUUUACAAGCAAAAAUAAUUGGAUGUCCACCCGUGUGAUGCACGGGUUAAUUUUAGGAGAUUUUUAUUGUUUAUGAUGUGAAUAUCUUAUUUUAUUGAAUGAUGAGAAUAUUUAUGAUGUGAAUGUCAUUUUUUAUAGAACUAUGAGAAUAUUUACAAAAAAGAUGGGGUGCAAAAUCGCUCAAAAAAAAGUUGAUGCAAAAUCGCACAAUUAGCAAAAUAUAGGGGGGAAAAGUGCAAUUAAGCCUAAAAAUAAAAAGGAAAUACAUACUUAACUAAUAAAUAGACAUCGUACUGUUCUCGUGAGCUUAACUAAGUUGGUACGAACAAUGCAUUAAUAUAUGCAAGAUCCGGGAUUAAAAUCCAGCCACCACAAAAUAAGAAAAUAGACAACGUACAUAUACGAAUGCAAUUACUUACAAUGUCUUGACUUAUCAAAGUGCCCUUAUUUAUAAAAUAUUAAACCAACUACAAUAUAAAAAAAAUAUAAAAGAGAAAAUAGCGCUUAGAAGACUUUUUUUAUCAGUUCUCACAUUAAUAGUAUAUAUAUAAAGUAAGGUUUUUUAUGCCACGUGUCAUUUCCACGUAUAUUCGCAAUAUUUUUAUUAUUUUUUUAUUUUUUAAAACCAAUAUUUGAUUUGGCAUAAAUAUCUCAACAAACUUUUGAUCUUAUCUAUUAAAUAUUUUACUUACUUUUUCAUUGAUUCCUAAAAUUUUAUGUAACAGAAAUAUCUCAACAGAAAUAACACAAAUUCCUAAAAGUUAAUUUUAUUAUAUAUGUGUUAAUAUUUUUACUAAAUCCAAUUAAUUUUAUCUGUAUGUGCAUCUAUAAAUUAACGAGUAUUUUAUAAUAUGGUAUAUUUUAUUAUGUUUGUUUGUAUUUUUAUUAAGAUAUUCAUCCUAUUCCAAUCCGUGAUAAAUUUUAUUUGCGAAUAACAUACAUAUAAUUUUUUUAUCUUCUUGAAUAUGUCUAACCCGGGCAACGCCAGAUAAAUACACCAGUAGUAAAUAACAACAUAAGAAUUUGAAAAAUAAAAAACCUAUCGUUAUUUUAUGCAAUAACAAAAACAAAACAAAAAUCUUAGAAGACUUCUUAGUUCUCUCAACAGUAAAUCAAAUUUUUUAUAAUUGAGUGUAACUCUAUACUAACCCUAAUAUUCCCACUUGACCUUCGUGUAAUUUGAAAAAACAAAAGGAUUUUCAAAAAUUAAAAAUGAAUCAAGUUUUUAUAUUCGAUUGUAACUCUAUACUAUUCCCACUAUUUUCACAGGACCUUCGUGUGAUUUGAAGGUACAAAAGGGUUCUAAAAAAAUUAAAACUGAAUAAUAUUUUAAUAAUUGAGUGUAAUUUUAUACCAAUCCUAACAAAAACGCAAGAAAGAGAAAAUUUGCAUUUUGUUUUAGAUUUGUGUUCCCUUUUUUUGUUCGUUUUCUGAAUGUGGUUAUACCGGUAAAGUGCAGAAUGUAAAGAUACACGAAAAAGAAUAUAACACCUCGUUUUAAGAGACGUCCACCCGUGCGAUGUGCGGGUCAAUUCUAUAAUAUUUUUAUUGUUUAUGACAUGAAUAUCUUAUUUUAUUGAAUGAUAAGAAUAUUUACGAUGUGAAUGUUUUUUUUUUUUUUUUUAUUUAUAUAGAACUAUGAGUAUAUUUACGAUGUGAAUAUUUUUUGUAUAGAACAAUGAGAAUAUAUAUCAAACUAUAUUUUAUUAGUAUCUCUCAAAGUAUUUUCAUAAACAACAAAACCUAUUUUAAAUUUAAAGAGAUCCAUCUACUGAUGAAAAUAAAAGGCCUCUUGAAUUAAAAAGUUCAAUACUUGAAUUAUGUUAGUUACUAUUGUUGAACCUUGGAGUUUUAUGUGACCGUUACCAUUGUUGUUGAUCCAGUAUUAUAUGUUUACUAAGUGCUGACUACGUGAAAAUUCUCAAACAAAUGGCACACGCAUAAAUUUUAUUUUUCAUAUAACAUGAGAGCAAAAACCAGCACCAUAACUAUUAAUAUUAACACUAAUGUUAAUCUUAAAUUUCUCAUGUUAUGAAUGAUGGAUCACCACUAUUAGAAUCUGAAUUAAUCUUAUUGUGAAUCGAUAUCUCUGUCUUGAAGAACCACCGAACUAUUGUUGAAGAAUUGAUUAAGGUCCAUGAAUCAAAAACUUCUCACUGGAUUUUGUAUUGAGGACAAGAUUGUAUGUGAGAAUGUGUAGAUGUUUAGAUGUUCUUAAUUUUAAUUUUAAAGAAUAUGUAGUGUUGAUUAUAUCUAACAGUUUAUUUUCUAUGCUCCAUUGAUGAGGGAUUCAAUUGCACCAUCACCUUAUAAUCCACCUAUGGUUUUAUACAAAAAAAAAAUUCUAUAAAAAAUGGCUAUGAAAUCAAGUAUAUGAAGUUUUGUAUAUAUUGAAUUUGUGAUGUAUAUAUUAACCAAAUAUUUGUUCCCAUAGAAUAUUCUUUUUAGCAAAACAUAUACAUAUUUGUUUCCUUUUUUAGAAUAAAAUAUUUGUUUCUAUAUUUACAUAAUUAUUCGAUGUAUAUAUAUGAACCAAAGGUGGCAUAAAUUUUUUUUUUUUGGUGUGUUAACCCUCUUGUUCAAAGGGAAAAGAUACCCUAGUAAUUUAGAGUUCGACCGAAAGGUAUGUAAAGCAUGUCCUAACCAAGAAUUGUUGCACACCAUAAAUAAUAUUUUUUUUUUUUUUUUUGUAAAAGAGUCAAUUUUUAUUUGUUUUGAAAUUAAAAAUUUGCUUUAUAGCAUGAAUAUAAUAUUCAAUUUUAUUAUUUAUUUUUUUGAUAGGCAAAGAGAUAGGUGAUACAUCAAGGUAUGUAUGAAAUACAGACCCAUAUCUUACCUACUCAUAAUAUAUUAUUAAAAAAUGGAAAUGGGGUGGGGGACCAAAACCUUUAAAAAUCAAGGAAAAAGAAGAAAAUGAAAUAAAAAAAUAAAUAAGAAAAUUAAAGAAAAGUGGCCAUAGAAGAGAAGGUACUGCUCAACCACCCUUGGGUUCCCCCUUGGAUCGAGUGUUGUACGAAUAAAGUUUACUUUUUGCUUCUUCAUUAAAAAAGGUGUAAAGGGGACGUCCACAUCUUUACCUCGAAUAAGAUAUUCUCUAACAAAGUCAAGUUCCUUCUAAAGUUGUGGAUCAAUAUGUGAUGCUACCUCUAUAGGCUCCAAAGGCAUAAUUGCUUCUGUAGGAAUGAUCAUGCUAGGAGACUUAACAAUUACCAUAUUUUUCUACUGGUUCCAAAAUAAAAUGUUCCUCAUUACCAUUCUAUCCAACCAAGGCAGAAGAAUCGACAAUAUCAUCGUUGACAUUUGAUAAUGGAAAAUGAAAAGAGGUGCUUGAGUUUGGAGGCUGUUCAAUACGAGUUAAUUAUCUGAGAGGAAACAUGUUCAUAUGAUACAAUCUGACCUUUUGUACUUUGUUGCAAUGAUGGUUCUAUAGGUGUGAUGAUUGUAACAUCUUGAUCUGCACUAGGGACGACAUGUUCUGCAUGAGAUAUAACUGGUAUUAUAUUAGUAAUAUGAGGUACUUCAAAUGCUUUCGAGGGCCCAAUCCCAUUUGGUUAUGUUUUUCGACAUAUUUCUGAGUAGCAGCGCGAUCAACUUUUUCAACAACCUGCUCAGGGUGUAGCCAACGACAAGCCGUAACAUUGUGCUCAAUCAUCUGACAACGUGAACAUUAAUCUUGUAGCCGUUCAUAAACUUCUAAUUUGAAAGCAAUCUCAAACCUGUCGAGAGAUGGUGUAUUUUUUGUUUCUAAACCUACCCUCUAAGUAACCUGAGUGCUUCUCGUGGCCGUUUUCAAAACCUUUUUUCAAUCAAAACCUUUACACAACAUGAUUCUGAGAUCUCUAGUUCGGUCUCGCUUGUAAUAAUAAGAACUAGUUCGUUUGCCAAAAACACAGGCAAACAAAUAUACUUUUUAAGUUUGGUCCCUCCUAAAGGCUCCGUCCCCGAGUAAGAUUUUUUCUACCAUAGGUACGAGAGUUCAAAGGCCAUUUUCGAAGAUCAACAUAAAGCAAUUCAAAGACAAAUAUUAUAAGAGUCAUUCAAGGUUAAAAGUCUCUAACUUCCCAAAGCUGUCAUAUCAAUAGAUUUAAGAGAACUUCAACACCCAAGACUCGAAUAGAUGAAGAGACUUGCAAGAGAAAUUUUCAAGAUGGUUAAAGGACACUUGAGAUCCACGCAUUUUAGAAGUUUGUUUAUUUCUUUUUAUUGAAUAGUAGAAUCAAACAUCAUGCAAAUUAAUUUAUUUUCGUUCUGUAAAAUAAACCUACUAGAUAAACACAUCCGUCCUUACAAGAUAACAUAUGUUACUGGCUGCUUGAAUUGAACAAUAUUUUUUUUUUUUUUGACAAGAAAUUGAACAAUAUAUGUAACUCUACACUGUUUUAUAUAAUACCAUUUUCUUUUAUCUUUAUUUCUUGUUUUGUGUAGUUUUACAUUUACAUUUUAUUCUAUUUUACUUUGUCCACCAAUAGUCACAAUUGACAAUUGAUUCCUCAGAAAACUAGUACAUUAAUUAGCUUAAAAUAGAAACAACUUUUUUUUCUUUUUCUUCUUUUUGGUUAGCUUAAAAUUCUUAUUGUCUGAUGAGUUCUCUAAAUGUGAAAGCAUAUCAGGUGACAAGCGAAGCAAACGAAGACUUCUCUCCAUUUUAAGUUCUGUGAUACGUUUAACAGUUGCUUUAUAGUUGUUCAAAUCUAUAAGUUUAGUUGUGCUUUCAUGGAACUGAAAUUGGAGCUUCGCAAGUUCCUCAUACUUACCAAUCUGUUGAUCUAGGUCUCCAACAUAUACUCCAUUGAUCUUGUUUAAUACAUCCACAGCAAUUUCCUCAACCAAUGCCAAUUCUGUUCUGUACACAAACAUCAAGCAUAAUACAACACAUGUAAAGAUCUCAAAUUUCACAACGGAACAAACCAAUCAUAAAACAAUUCUAAGUUGCCAAAAUGAUAAAGACAGUUAGCUGAAUGAGAGGUUGACACCACACUAGGUAUAUGAGUCAUGUCCCUUAUAAAGUGUUCAACAUUCAGUUUUCUAUCUCCCCCUCAAUCAACCAGAAGUUUUCUAUCCCGUUGUACUUGUACCUUUGUUGCCGAUCUGAACGGGUCACGCCACCUGAACACCCUUGGUCUAUAAGACUUUCGACACAAAGAGCAGGUCGAUCAUCACAUCGGAACUUGAACAAGGGUCCAGGCAAUCAUCACAUCGGAACUUGAAUAAUCAUUCAAGUGUGUAUGGUUGUCAAACUCACGAGUAUACUCGCACAAGUUACGAGUCUAGAAGGCACAACUAAGUGGAAUCGCGCAUAGAAUAUUUUUUGAGCUAGACUCGUGUAGACUCGCAUAGACUCGUGAGUUUAUGAUGAGUUUACAAGUCUAUGAGUUUUUUUGAAAAAACAAUUUGUUUUUGAAAAAAAGCUCAAACUAAACAAAAAUUUAAAGGAAAAAAACUUACUUAGAAUCCUCUUAAUUUCUUUUUCGGUCUCACUCUCAAUUUAGAAACAAAUCUCUCACUCUCACCAAAAAUAGAAGAAUUCAGGUCAUACUCACCUACGUUGACGACAAUUUUUUCUUUCUUCAUCGACGAUGACAUUCUUUUGUUGUGUAUCGAAAUAUUGUGGAAAUUGAUGUUGCUAAUAAUACUACUAGAAAAAGCAAAAUUUGGGAGGAAAUUAGUGUCGAAAAAAAUAAAAUCCUUCAAAAAUUCGUUGGUCGCAAAAGUUUAGUGACAGAAUUAGAGAGCGAUUCCACUUUUUUCCUCUCUAAAUUUCCGUCACUAAUUUUUAUUUUUUUUAUAAUAUAAUGAUGCUCAAAGUGGUGGUAGAGGCAAUGUUGAAUUAGGUGGAAGUUAAAAUAAUCCAAAUUAGAUUAUGGUUAAUGGUGAAUAAGAUGUUUUGUCUGGGGCUGAGUUUGAUAUGAUAGUUAGGUUGUUGGUGAAGAUGAUGGUGAUGGUGGUCAUUUUGAUGAUGAACAAAAUUUUAAAUAGACUUUUAUGAUUUUUGGGUGUAUAUAGUAGCCAAUUAGAAAGAAAUUAGGACCUUAUCUACAUUGCUUGCUCUAAUAUGUUUUUUUUAAAGUUUGUUAUUACAUUCGAAAUUUUAUUUUUUUAUGUUAAUUGGUGUUCUAUUAUAAAUAUAUAUAUCAUUUAUGUGUCACUUUCAUAUUUUUUAAAGUCAACUUUAAUUUUCCAUAGACUCAUACGAGUCUACAAAUCGAGUUUACCUGUCGAGUUUAUAUAUCAUUUUUGAGUCUAUGUAAACUCGCGAAUCUGACAACUUUACAAGUGAGUUUAAACAAUCGGGCCUUGACCAAAAUCAAACAAACUAGUGAAUUGGUUAGUUCCAUGUUCAACAUUGGAUUGGUCGGUUCAUCGGAUUAUUAGAAUAUUGUUUUUUUUUUUAAGGGAUUAAAAUAGGAAAAAACUUAGGUACAAUUCCUUAGAUGCUUUUCGUAUGGUUCUUAACUAAAAAUACAUAUUUUUUUGAUAUAACAAACUUUGAGAAAAUUAUGGAUUUGAGGAAAUCAUGAUAUUUUUAGUUAAGAACCAUACGAAAAGCAUCUAAGGAAUUGUACCUAAGUUUUCUCCAUUAGAAUAUUGUUAUCAAGGCUCAUUUUCAGUUAUAAAUGAAAAACUUAAACCAAAAUAACGACGAAAGAAGUUGAUUGAUAUAAAGUUACCUGUUGACAUUGCAAUCCCAUCCAGCAUAAUUUGCAGCUUCCAUCAAACCAUUCCUCCAUUCUUGCACUUUUAUCUUCUUCUUAAAGUUCCUCUCGUGGUUAUUAAAAGCCUCAGCAUAGCUUCCUCUCUGGUUCCUAACAUCAGAAGGAUCAACGUCAUAGAAAAUAGGCACUACAAUUUGCCCUUUCAUCUUUUUAAUUUCCAGUAUUUUCAUAAGCUCUUCCAAACACCAUUUCGACACCGCAUAGUUUUUAGAGAAAACAAUAACAGAGACCUUGGCUUCUUCAAUGGCCCUAAUAAGGGUGGUUGGUAUUUCAUCACCCCUAUUAAGAUCAUUGUCUAUAUAGGUUCUUAUAUCUAAUCUUUUCAAAGCACCAUUAAGAUGGCUUGUGAAAUUGUUGCGAGUAUCCUCACCUCUAAAACUGAUAAAAACUUCGUGCUUUUCUUGAGGAGCAUUGUUGGAUGAAGAGGAGGAGGAUGAAUAUGGCCAUGCCAUAAUAAUGCUAAUGUGUAUUAUUUUACUAUAGUUACUAGUGUAUAUAUAAUGGUAAAACUAUGACAAGUCGUUGUUUCUGACAGUUAGGCCUCAGAGUUUAAAAUUUAAGGUUAAUUCGUUAUACGACCCCGGUGCUUAUAAUAUUAACAAGGAAAAAUAAUUGGACGUCUACCCUUGUGAUACACGGGUCAAUUUUAGGAUAUUUUUAUUGUUUAUGAUGUGAAUGUCUUAUUUUAUUGAAUGAUGAAAAUAUAUACGAUGUGAAUGUCUUUUUUUUUUUUUUUAUAGAAAAAUGAGAAUAUUUCUUAACGAGAAGUGCUAUUUUCCACGAAGAAUUCACAAACGAAUAUUAAGAAUGUAAUGCGUUGCUGUUUUAAGAAAUGGAAAACUAUCAAGUUCGGAUUUAAUGGAAAUCAUGGUAUGUGUUGGUGAUAAUGGAUGUGAGAUAACAAGUCGUGGUUUUUGUGGAUAGCCAAUUCGUAAGAACAAACAUUUUCCUUUCAUUAUUUAAUAUUAUCUCUCAAAGUAUUUUCUUAAACAAGAAAACCUAUUUUCAAUUUAAAGAUAUCGAUAUAGUGCUAAAAAGAAAAGAUCUUGAAUUCAAAAGUUGAAUAUUUAAAUUUUGUUGAUUUCUAUUUAUAAUUGUUCUAUUCAGAAAUCAAACUUAAAAAAUUAAGUAUUCUUUUAAAAUUGACAGUAAUAUAAAAGUAGACAAUCUCUCUCAUAAAAUAAGUAGACAAUCUAAUUUAACAAUCUACAGUUUAAUUUAGGAACAAUAACCAAGGAAACAUAUAAAAAUGCAUGGCGCAAAAUUUCAUUAAAAAAAAGGUAACACAUACUUAAGUGACAAAUAGACAACGUACAUGUAUAAAUGCAAUUACAGUAUGGAUGUCAAUGUCCAUUUUGUUGGAUGUCAAUGUCAUGACUUCUCAAAGUGCCCUUAUUUAUAAAAAUAUUAAACCAACUAUAGUAUACAAAAAUAAAAGAAAAAUGAGUUCUUAGAAGACUUCAUAGUUCUCAGUUCUACAUAGUCUGUUUGGUAAGCCCAUUAAAUGAGCUUAUAGCUUAUAGCUUAUAAACUCGUUUGACAAAAAUAGCUCUGUUUGGUAAUGGUCUCUUACCACGAGCUUAUAGUUUAUUUCACGAGAUUAUAAGCUAUUUUUUAGAAGCUAUUCCAAGUAGCGUUUGAGCUUAUAGCUUAUAGCUUAUCAUCUUUUCUUCCAUUUAUACCCUUAUUAUUUUAUCUAAAAACCAUUUAUACCCUUAUUAUUGUAAUAAAUACCAUGCCUUAAAAAAGUCUCUUAGAUUUAAAUGAAUAUAAUUUAUACUGUACAUUUAAAAGAAUAUAACCUUUGGUUAAAAAAAAAAUUGCAUCAUAGAAUGUAACAUUUGUGUUUUUAAUCUUUUAUCAUGAUUUUUAUACAAUUGUGUUAGAUUUUGCUAAAAUAAAAUACAACAGUGAUACGUAUAUAUACGAUUAUAAUUUUUUCUUUUUGAUAAGAAAUAUAUGUUUUAUAUUUUAUUUUAAAAAUAAAUUUUUAUAAAUUAUAAAAACUGAAAAAAAGAAUAAAUUUAAAAUAAAACUUAAAAAACAAUAAUUUAAUAAUAUAUAAAAUAUGUAUUAAAUUAAAAAUCAAUUGUCCUUUUAAGUCAUUUUACCUUUAUUAGUUAGUUGAACCGCUAAUUUUACCAAACACUUUAAUUAGCUUAUCAGCUAUCAGUCGUCAGCUAUAAGCUAUAAGCUAUCCACUAUUUUUACCAAACAGAGUCAUAGUAAAUAACAACCUAUCGUUAUUUCAUGUAAUAACAAAAACAAAAACAAAAACAAAAACAAAAACCUAUCGUUAUUUCAUGUAAUCUUUAUACUAACAAUUUAGAGUUCUUAGAAAUAGCCUAAUUCAAAUUCCUUUCCUCUAAGGAUGUCCACCUCAUCAAAAGCCUACUUGGCAUAUGUUCCUAAAUUUCCUCCUAAUUUUUAAUACAAGUUUAAUAGUUUUAAUUAUUAUUAAAAACCGUUUUUUAUUUAACAUUAAAUUGUACAUAAAGUAAAUAGUUGGUUACAAUCAGAUAAUGAUUAAUAUAAUUACUGUUUCGAUUAAAAUUUAUAUUUUACAAUAAAAAUUUGAACGUUACAAAUCAAAUAAUUAUUAAUCUAAUUAGUAUUCAAUUAACAUUUAUAUGUAACAUUCAAAAUUUGGUUGGUUACAAAAUUAUAAUAAAUAAACUAAAUAAAUUAUAUUUUGAAUUUUGGGACGUUACACUAAGGCAUUAACUUAAUAAUUAAAAAAUUCAUUGUAUUAAUUAGUUUUUAAGGUUAUAUAAUUAAUUUUUGUUUGUUACAAAACUAUAUUACAUAAUUAUUUAUAAGAUAUUAUUAAAUAUUAAAUUAAAUUUCAAAUGUUAUGAAGUUAAUUUUUUGUACGUUACAUGAAAUAUAAUUUAAUCGUUUAAUGCACGUUUUAUAAUAUUAAAGACGUUGAUAAUAUUAAUUUUAAAACGGUUAAAUUGAUAAUUAAUUUAUAUUAACCGUUAUGAUACUAUUUUUCUAUAUAAAUAGUAGAUAUUUUGGGUAUGAGUACACAACAAUCACAAAAUAUAGUUCUUCGUUUUCUGUUCUUUGGUGCUCUGAUAUCUAUAUUCUAAACUAUUUCUAUAAUUUUUCUAUUGCAAAGGAAAAUGUCAACGAAACACAACUUCAUCUCUAAUGUUUCGCCAAGAAAACAAUCGUGGACAUUGGUUGUGAAGGUUGUUCGUGCUUGGUUUGGUCAAGACUACAAAAAUAAAAAACUACCAUUUUCCAUGGAGUUGGUUCUAAUGGAUCGAAAGUUACCUUUUUCAUAUUGUUUUUCUUUUUUGUUUUUUUUAGUAUUUUUUUGUUUAAAUUAUAGUGUUCUCAUCUUUUUUAUCUAGGGUGAUCAAAUUGGUGCGUCUAUACGAAGAACAUUGAUCUACAAGUUCAAGAAUCAACUCCAAGAGGGAAUGGUGUUCACGAUUUCCUCAUUUAAUGUUGCUAGCAACAAUGAUUUGUAUCGACCAUCACGCAAAGAAUACAAACUGAAUUUCACAAUCAACACAAAAGUGAAACUAUCUAUAACUGUUUUGGUCCCAACAAACGUGUAUUCGUUUACACCUGCACCUGAUGUUUUCAAUGAAUUUUACGACAACAACUACUUUUUUUUUUGAGCAACGACAACAACUACUUAGUUGGUAAGUGACUAUAAUUUUCUUUAUGUAGAUUUUUUUAAAUAUUAUUUUUGCUUACAAAAAAUAACACAAUAAUUUAUAUAUUGAAUUAAUAAUGUUUUGUUUAAUAUGAUUCAAUUGUACGUUAUAUUCUUUUAAUAAUAAAUAGUAAUUUGAUUGAUAUUUUAAUGUGUGUUAUAUAUGCAGAUGUAAUUGGAGUCAUGAUUGGAGUUGGAGUUGAAAGAGAGUACGAAAGAGAUGGUGUAAAAACUAAAAUAUGAAUGUCAUUGAGUUGUAGCUGAACUCUUUCCUAUCUUCCGGUGAAUCUCAAAAUGCUGUUGUAGCCAUUAUGUUGACAAAAGUUAAAUUGUUUCAAGGUAAUAAUUUAUGACUAGCAAUUGUGAUUGUUUGUUUAUACGAAUAUAUAUACUUGAUUCAUAUACUUUUGAAUCUUAAUGAUAGGAAAACCAGCAUUGCAAAAUGCAUUUUCUUCCACUAGAAUCACAUUCAAUCCUUAAAUUGGUGAAACAAAGGAACUAAGGAAAAGGUAUAUAUAUUUUUUUUAAUAUAACAUUUUUUUUCUUAAGUUAUAAUAUUAUUGAUUGAUACUUUUUAUUACAGCUUUCUUAGUGCAAAUACAAAUUCUCCUGCAUCGGGAUUGAUCCAGUUACCAAAUUCAUCUUGCAUAUCUGUACAUGAGGAGUUUCUCUUACUUACUCCUAGGACCACUAUUGAGGAGUUGAAGAAUGUUAAUAAGCUUUUUUUUAUUUUUAUUACAGGUCUAUUUUGGUAAAGUUUGCACACCUUUUGGUAUAAUGUUAUUUUGUAUGGUGAUGUAGGGCACCUCUUUUAUUGUCUUGGGAAUUUCAAUUUUCAAUUAAACAAAGCGUUUUUGUUGCAUGUAUUGACACUUCAAUAAAAAAAAAAAAAACAGUUUCCAUAUUUUCAAUUUACUUUUGUCUUAAACUUUACACAAAUUCUAAAGUAAAUACAAAAAUUCAUUUUUUUUAAUGAAGUACAAAAUAUACAUAUAUUUAUGAGGUAAAUUUUAUUCAAAAAUGUGCUUAUUUUCAUAAAUUAAAAAAAUAAUGUCAAUGAAUAUUAUUUAUGAAACCAAUAAAAAUAAUAGAUGUAACUAAAAUUUUGAAUUAGGUUUUUUUUAUUUAUAAUUGUGAUCGUAGAGAUCAUUGUGAGUAAGUAAAAAAUUAAUAUUUUUAUUAAGAGUGAAAAAUUAAAACAUAGGUAAUCAUAUCCAUUUGAUAUAUUGAAUAUCUUUAUACUAACAAUUUAGAGUUUUUAGAAAUAGCCUAUUUCAAAAUCCUCUCCUCUAAAGAUGUCCACAUCAUCAUAAUCCUAAUUGGCAUUUGUUCCAAAAAUUUCUUCUAAUUUUUAAUACAAGCUUAAUAAUUAUAAAUAAAUAUUAUUAAAAACCAUUUUUUAUUAAUCAUUAAAUGGUACAUAAAAUACACAGUUGGUUACAAUAAAAUCAUUAUUAAUAUAAUAAUUGUUUCGAUUAAAAUUUAUAUGUUACAUUAAAAAUUUGUACGUUACAAUCAAAUGAUUAUUAAUAUAAUUAUUAUUCAAUUAACAUUUAUAUGGUACAUUAAAAAUUUGGUAGGUUACAAAAUUAUAAUAAUUAACUUGAAUAAAUUAUAUUUUGAAUUUUGGUCCGUUACACUAUAACAGUAACCUACUAAUUAAAAAUUUAAUUGUAGUAAUUAGUUUUUAAGAUUAUAUAAUUAAUUUUUAUUCGUUACAAAAUUAUAUUACUUAAUAUUAAUAAGAUAUUAUUGAAUUUUAAAUGUUAUGAAGUUAAUUUUUUGUAGGUUAGAUGAAAUAUAAUCUAAUCAUUAAUGCACAUUUUAUAAUAUUAAUUACGUUGAUAAUAUUAAUUUUAAAACGGUCAAAUUAAUAAUUAGUAGAUAUUAACCGUUAUGGUACUAUUUUUUUUAUAUAAAUAGUAGCGCUUUUAGGUACGAGUACACAACAAUCACAAAAUAUAGUUCUUCUUUUUCUAUUCUAUGGUUCUCUGAUAUCUAUAUUCUAAGUAAUUUCUUUAAUUUUUUCUAUUGCAAAGAAAAACGUCUACGAAACACGACUUCAUCUCUAAUGUUUCGCCAAGAAAAUAAUCGUGGACAUUGGUUGUGAGGGUUGUUCGUGCUUGGUUUGUUCAAGACUACAAAAAUAAAAAUAAAAACUACCAUUUUCUAUGGAGUUGGUUCUAAUGGAUCGAAAUUGACUUUUUUCAUACCGUUUUUUGUUUUGCUUUGUUUAAAGUAUAGUAUUUUAAUAUUUGUUAUCUAGGGUGAUCGAAUAUGUGUGUUUAUACGAAGAACAUUGAUCUACAAGUUCAAGGAGCAGCUCCAAGAGGGAAUGACGUUCACGAUUUCCUUAUUUGAUUUUGCUUGCAACAGUGGUUUGUAUAGACCAUCACACAACGAAUACAAACUGAAUUUUACAAUUAACACAAAAAUCAAAAUAUUUAAAUCUUCUUUGGUCCCUACAAACAUGUAUUCGUUUACACUGCAUAUGAUGUUUUCAAUGAUUCUUACGACAUGAAAUGUAAUUUGAAUCAUAUUUUUAUCAUCAAACUAAUUUGAAACCCUCAUCCCUUUCUAACAACAUGAACUAAAUUAUAUAUUAAUGUAGUUGGUGUCUUGACUGAGGUGGAUUUUGUUUUAAUGAAGACCUCAAAUCAAUUAUAUUAAAAACCCUUCAAGCACAAGAUGUACCCAAUAAAGGAAAAUACAAAGUUCAAGAUGCAUAGAUACAAAAGAACCAAAUCAUGAGGUAGAAUAACCAAGACAAGUAGAAAGAUUAUUUCACCAAUAUUUCAACUCAAAAUACAUACAUGAUUGCUUAGCAUUUUGUAUCCAGUAAACAAGAAAUAUAAUUUAUCUAACAACACCAUAAACUGGUUCUUGUGACAAAAAUGUAAGAAUUUUUGUCUUUCCAAAUAAUCCAAAUGCAAGUCAGCAAAAUCAACUGAAAACUAAAACGAACUUUUUUUGGAACAAUUGAGAACCACUGAAAUGAAGAGUACCCUCAAUAAUUAAUUGGAAGAACACAAUAAUUCCAACCACUUUAGAAUAUUAUGUCAUAUUCUACCAAAGAAUUCACACUAAAAAUAAAAAAGAUAAUUUUCCUCUUUUUCACAUCUGCCAGAACAUAAAAAUAAGUCCAUAUUUUAAAUACUCCAUCAAGCUAAGUUGCCAUUUAUUAGAAUUCAGAUAUUCAAGAGCCUCCGCGAAAAGAGAGAGGCAUUUAGAGGAGCUACUUUGUUCCUAAUGAGAUUUUUUAGAGCCAUAGGUUCAUCAUGCUCCACUUGCAACUAGAUGAUAUACCCCUUUGUCAGAGUAACUUUCACCAUGAUCAACUUUAAAGAAACUUAUAAAAAAAUGCUAGCCUGAAAAAUAAUGUUGUCCACCAAAUAACAACAAUAUAUCCCCUGCACCUCAUUCCAAGAAAAACUCUAUGACAUCGUCUCCACCCCAUCCAACCCUAACCUACGUAUCUCCUUAAAUGGCAUAGAGUUAUUCUCAUAUAACUCAAAAGUUCUUCUAAAUAUAUCACACAAAGGACCACUCUACAACCACGAAUCAUUGCAAAAAAAAAAAGGAGUAUUUUUUCUCAUUACUCUCCACUAUCAUCAAGUUGUCAUCAAACCAAUUUCUAAUCCCCAUCUCCGCCCCUAUUUUAACAUCAUGGAAGUAAUUUUACCACACACACUCCUAAUUGUCCCCACUCUUCACAUGAACUCACCCAACCUAUUCUAAGAAGCUAAAACUCUAAAAUGCAAACUCAUUGAUCCAUAUCAGCCUCCAAAACUAUUCAUGUAACAAAGAUAAGUUAAAAUUCUACAUUAUAUGAACCCUCAAGCAACAACUAUAUCGACCAAGACACACCUUAUCUCACUUAAACCAAUUGACUUUAAUAGCUUCCGCACUCUCUCCACACUAAAAAUAAUAAGGAUUCAAUAAAAUAAUUUUUACUUAAGUAAGCCUUGAAGAAUGAAAGAAAUUAAACCAAUUGUGGUGGAUAUUGAAAGAGAAUACAAAGAUACAUUAGAAGAAUAUUGAAUUGAAUUCGAAUGGGUGCAAUCGAUUUAUUUUCAUUUUUAAUAUAUAAUACAUUAUGAUAUUUAAUUAUUAUUUUAAUUAUUUGUCAAAUAAUUUUUAAGAGAUAUCAGUUUGAACGUACUCUUUUUUCUAUUUUCUGGUAAAUUUAAAAAGGCGAAUCUGAUAAUUUUGUUGCAAAAGUUAAGUUGUUCCUAGGUAAGUAUUUAUAACUAUCAACUUGAUUAUUUAAUACCAUUAAAAACUACAUAUUUAUUCAUUUAGUUGAACCAUUUUAUUUGUUUCUUUAGAGAUUGGAAAACGAUGUUACAAAAUUCUUUUCAAUCAACUAAGAUCAAAUUCAACCAUUAAAUUAUGGAGACAAAAAGAACUAAAGAAAAUGUAUGCUUAUUUUGAUGAAGGAGAUUUUUUUUCCACAAUCCUUUUAGUAAAUACAUUUUCUAAUAAAUGGUAAAACAAUUACCUUUAUUUUUAGUUGCCUGAUCUAUCCCACAUUAGCAUACCUGAAGAAUUUUUUACUCUUACUCUUAGGAUCACCAUUGGAGUUAAAGAACAUGCAUGAAAUUGAGUGGGUUGACAUAGAUCUCCUACCUUUUUCUUCCCCAUGUUUGUGGAGGUUUUAGUUUGUGGAUUUCGGUUAGGAAUAUUAAGAAGGAGGAAAUGUUUGCUUGGAAAAAAGGGGAAACGAUGAAUUGGAAAUCAUAACUACACUAAAAUAUAACGAAAUUAGGUUAGAUUGUUUUAAUUAGGUUAGGGACUCUCUCCAAUCUUAGAUAUAACAAAUAAACAACUACAUUUUAUUAUCUUAAAUUAAAAAAAAUAUAUAACUUACUUUGACUCUAUUUAAUGUUAUUUCUCCUAAUAUACAUUUUAAUUCAUGUAAGUUUUAUUUUUAAUAUUUUUUUAUUCUCAUGAAACAAGUUCCAAUAGAUGGUACUUUUCAUAAUUUUAUAUUUUUUUAGAAACAUUCGAGAAAACUAAUUGCAUAUAAGUAAAUUUUUGAACUUAGAUAUUUUUUUUAUAAUUGAAAUCCGAGAGAGUGAUUAAAUAAAAAAAGUAAUAACUUUAUUCAAAGGGGUAGGUUUUUUAUUAUAUUUUUAUAAGACAAGAGCAAAAAGAAUAAUCUCAAUUAAGUUGGUACCCUACUUUAAUCGAUCACCAGUUGCUCAUAUAUAUUAUUAAAAAAAGGAAAAAAUUAUAUAAAAUCUGGGAGGACAAAAAAUAUGAUUCAGUCAAUCCAAGUGGAUCCACCCUAACGAGUAAUAUAUAUAAAAAAAAAGAUCAACAAAGUGGAUUCAACCCUAAUUAAUUCUAACAAACGAAUACCAUUAACGAUAGACGUUUGUGAUGGCCAAUCGGGCCUAUAAUUUGGCGAAUUGAUCGAUCUUCAACACAAAAUCGGAUCACGUGCUAUCAACUCCCUGCAACAACGACAACAAGCAUUAACGACUCUUUCAAGUCCACACAGUCUCAUGUCAAUCAAGGAUUAAUGGGAUACGAAACACAUACAUAUUCUUGAGAGUGGGAAGUAGAUUCAACCGCCAACACGGUAAUUAACAGAUUCACACGCACUAACUGUUUACUGCUAUGAUCAACAUCAAAUUAACAGUCAUUUAUGGCCCAAUAUAGAACCUCAACCACCUCCAAAGAAAGGGAGGAGAUGGCGGAUUCGAAUGACCCACCAUAAUCAAUCCACACGGCGGCGAAAAAUGUCUAAAAUGGUGGCAAAAUAGAGGAUAAAGAACGGACCCUUUCGGGUUUCAACCAAACCAAUGCGGGGUUCUGCUAUUGAGAAGCCAACACACAAAACUAAACAUGAUUGCCGGUGACAACCAACAAUUUACGAAUACCAACAACUAAGCAACCACCACCCGUAGCAGAUGCGGUACUGGUUGAAUCAGAAACGAACGACACGAAUUGUUGCGGGAAUCGGAAAAAGGGUGGUGCGGGGGGACGACGCCACUCAUCACACCAUCGUUGAAUGUUGGUACAUCGUAAGUGAUGAAGGUUUCAAAAAAAAGGGGGCGAGGUGGCGGAAGAUUUCUAAAGACAGGGCAGAGCCAUAAUGGUAGAUUAUAGCAGGGGUAAUCAUACCUCUUAUUAAUUAGAUAUAUUUUUAAGAAUAUACUAAUUAUUUAUAGUAUUUUUAUAUUUUAAGUAUAGUUGUACUUUUUCUCAAUAUUUUAAGCAGAGUUGGCAUGUCUCUGCCAACUCUGUCUCAAUUUUAAAUAUGAAAAUAAAGUACUACAUAAUAUCAAAAUUCUGAAUGAAAUCAAAAUAAAAAAGUCAAAUAAUAUCUAAAAAAACUUAUUUAUGUGUAAACCUAGUUAAAAAAAAUUUAAAUAAAAUGUAUCCCGUGCUUGGCACGGGGCGUUACACUAGUAUAAUAAAUUAUGAUAUUUUAUUAUUAUUUUAAUUAUUUGUCGAUUAAUUUUUAAGAGAUAUCUGUUUGUACGUACUCUUUUUUCUAUCUUCCGAUAAAUUUAAAAAGGCGAAUCUGACAAUUUUGUUGGCAAAAGUUAAGUUGUUCCUAGGUAUGUAUUUAUAACUUAUUUAAUACCAUUGAAACGUACAUAUUUAUUCAUUUACUUGAACCAUUUUAUUUGUUUCUUUAGAGAUUGGAAAACGAUGUUACAAAAUUCUUUUCAAUCAACUAAGAUCAAAUUCAACCGUUAAAUUAUGGAGACAAAAAGAACUAAAGAAAAUGUAUGCUUAUUUUGAUGAAGGAGAUUUUUUCCACAAUCCUUUUAGUAAAUACAUUUUCUAAUAAAUGGUAAAACAAUUACCUUUAUUUUUAGUUGCCUGAUCUAUCCCACAUUAGCAUACCAGAAGAAUUUUUUUAACCUUACUCUUAGGAUCGCCAUUGAGGAGUUGAAGAACUUGCAUGAAAUUGAGUGGGUUGACAUAGAUCUCCUACCUUUUUGUUCCCAUGUUUGAUGGAGGUUUUAGUUUGUGGAUUUUGGUUAGGAACAUUAAGAAGGAGGAAGUGUUUGCUUGGAAAAAAGAGGAAAUGAUGAAUUCGAAAUCAUAACUACACUAAAACAUAACGAAAUUAGGUUAGAUUGUUUUAAUUUGUGACCCUUGAUCUCUAAUUAAAAAAAAUGAAGAGAGAAGAUUAAAUAAAAUUGUUUUCUCAAAUUUUUCUCACUAGAGAUAAUUUGCUUCCGAGAGAAAUACUCACUCUCUCCAAUAUUUUUUUAGGAACUCUCUCCAAUCUUAGAUAUAAAAAAUAAACAACUACCUUUUAUUAUCUUAAAUUAAAAAAAAUAUAUAACUUACUUUGACUCUAUUUAAUGUUAUUUAUCCUAAUAUACAUUUUAAUUUAUGUAAGUUUUAUUUUUAAUAUUUUUUUAUUCUCAUGAAACAAGUUCCAAUAGAUGGUACUUUUCACAAAUUUAUCUUUUUUUAGAAACAUUCGAGAAAACUAAUUGCAUAUAAGUACAUUUUUUAACUUAGAUAUCUUUUUAAUAAUUGAAAUCCGAGAGAGUAUUGUGAUUAAAUAAAAAUAAUAAUAGCUUUAUUCAAAAUGGUAGAUUUUUUAUUAUAUUUUCAUAAGACAAGAGCAAAAAGAAUAAUCUGAAUUAAGUUGGUACCCUGCUUUAAUCGAUUGUCAGUUGCUCAUAUAUAUUAUUAAAAAAAGAAAAAAAAUUAUAUGAAAUUUGGGAGGACAAAAAAUCUGGUCCAGUCAAUCCAAGUAGAUCCAACCUAACGGGAAAUACAUAAAAAAAGAUCAACAAAGUGGAUUCAACCCUAAUUAAUUCUAACAAACGAAUACCAUUAACGAUAGACGUUUGUGAGGGCAAAGCGGGUCUAUAAUUUGGCGAAUUGAUCGAUCUUCAACACAAAAUCGGAUCACGUGCCAUCAACUCCCUGCAACAACGGCAACAAGCAUUAACAACUCUUUUAAGUCCACACAGUCUCAUGUCAAUCAAGGAUUAAUGGGAUACGAAACACAUACAUAUUCUUGAGAGUGUGGAGUAGAUUCAACCGCCAACACGGUAAUUAACAAAUCCACACACACUAACAGUUUACUGCUAUGAUCAACAUCAAAUUAACAGUCAUUUCUGGCCCAACAUAGAACCGCAACUACCUCCAAAGAAAGGGAGGAGAUGACGGAUUCGAAUGACCCACCAUAACCAAUCCACACGGCUGCGAAAAAGGUCUAAAACGGUGGCAAAAUAAAGGAUAAAGAACGGACAAUUUCGAGUUUCAACCAAACCAACGCGGGGUUCAGCCAUUGAGAAGCCAACACAUAGAACCAAACAAGAUCGCCGGUGACAACCAACAAUUUAUGAAUACCAACAACUCAACAACCACCACCCGUAGCAAAUGCGGUACUGGUUGAAUCGAAAACCAACGACACGAAUUGUUGUGGGAACCGGAAAAAGGGUGGUGCGGGGGGACGACGCCACUCAUCGCACCAUCGUUGCAUGUUGCUACAUCGUAAGUGAUGAAGGUAUCGAAAAAAGGGGGUGAGGUGGCGGAAGAUUUCUAAAGAGAGGGCAGAGCCAUAAUGGUAGAUUAUAACAGAGGUAAUCAUACCUCUUAUUAAUUAGAUAUAUUUUUAAGAAUAUAGUAAUUAUUUAUAGUAUUUUUAUAUUUUAAGCAUAGUCGUACUUUUUCUCACUAUUUUAAGCAGAGUUGGCAUGUACCUGCCAACUCUGUCUCAAUUUUAAAUAUGAAGAUAAAGUACCACAUAAUAUCAAAAUUCUGAAUCAAAUCAAACUAAAAAAGUCAAAUAAUAUCUAAAAAACUUAUUAUGUGUAAACCCUGUUAAAAUAUUUUAAAUAAAAUGUAUCCCGUGCUUGGCACGGGGCGUUACACUAGUAACAAAAACAUAGAAGACUUCUUAGAUCUAACGAGGGUGAAUCAAUUUUUUUUAUAAUUGAGUGUAACUCUAUACUAACCCCAAUAUUAUUUUUUUAAGGAAUACUAACCCCAAUAUUUCCACUUGACCUUCAUGUGAUUUUUUUUUUUGUGGUGUUCAAAGGUUCGAACCUUGGACCUUGCAUAUAUUAUGUAUUGUCUUUACCGACUUAGUUAAGCUCACGGAAAAAGAAAAAAAAAACAAAAGGAUUUAAAAAAAUAUAAUGUAUGUAAAAAAAUUAAAAAUGAAUCAAUUUUUUAUAUUCCCACAUGACCUUCUUGUGAUUUGAAGGUACAAAAGGGUUCUAAAAAAAUUAAAACUGAAUCAUAUUUUAAUAAUUGAGUGUAAUUUUAUACCAACCCUAAGAAAACACAAGAAAGAGAAAAUUGACAGUUUGUUAAAGGAAAUUUGACGCAGAGGAAUCAAUAAAGCAUAGAAGAGCUGCAGCUUCUGGAUUUCAAUGCCGAGAAAUUUCAUUAGAUUAAUUUAUCAAAUAUAAGCUAAACAAUAGAUCAUUGUUACAAUUGAAAGAGAAAUCAUAUACUUUUGCGGAUAGAAGGAGAAUAAAUAUUCAAAACAGACAAAAAUAUUAUUGAUAAUAAUUAUGAUAGCUAGGUCUAAGUGACAAGCCACUUCAUGUACUAGGUAAAAGAAUUUUAAUAACCACAAUCAUAUACCUCAGGGUGAAAAUAACAAGCAAAAAGUUAAAUAUUUGCUCCUUCAAGUGGAAUAAUGCUUUCUUUAUGUAUUACUAUCUUACAAGAAAAUCUCUCUGUUGUAAUGCCAAGAUCUUCAAUCAUUUGGGUAUUUAAAUCAAACCAAACUAGUUCACCGUAGUUGUCGUCGUCUUUUUUUCUGAACAACAUAUCACCCUUCUUUCCGGCUCCAAUAGGAUACUCAAGAUAAGGUAAGGGCCCUAAAAUGAAGAUCUUAAUCCAUGAUUUCUUUACACCAAAUUCACCUAAAAUUGAAAUGUGAAAUGUACCCGUCUCUAUGUAAUUUAAGAUGAAAGCAAUAGACCCAUCUAAUAGCACCAAGUGUCUCCACACCGAAUUACAAUCAAAUCUAUUAUCAUCCAUGUCUGAAGGUAUGGGUGUGGUAAGGAAAACCUCAUUGCUCCAAUCAAAUGACAAUAAAUGUGUUUCAUUAUGUGUUUCACCAUAACACAACCAGUGUGAGAGUCCAUCUAUGUACAAUUGGUUUUCACACAUAGGCGACUUUUGCAUAUCGACAUCAAGUUUUCUCCAAGAGUUGUUUCUUAGACUAUAUAUCUCCCAUAUAUAACCAGUUUUAUCAACAACUGUUCCUUGGCGAAUCACUUUAUAGUCGUUGUUGACAAAAUCAUAACCAAAUGCAUGAUGAAACACAUGGCAAUUAGGUUCAGAAUCUAAAGGGCUGGGAGGAAUGUGCUUAAAUUCCAUAGUAGAUGGAUUCCACAAUAAAAUAUUCACAUGGGAUGCACAAAACAGACACAGAGUUCCAAGAACGCUGCCAGAUCCUAAUAUAUUAAAACCAGAAUCAUACUCCGUUUGAUCCCGAUAUAUAGGAUCUAAUUUGACACUUGGCCAAUCUAAUUUGAUCCUAUUCUCAAACCUCUUACCAGCAAGAGAAUACAAAUCAAAUGUUUCAUCGUGAUAAUAACCCUCAAAAGGAGAAAAUGUUUGAUGUAGUAGAAAAGACGUAUCAUGAUAAUAAGAAUGAUCCUUUGUUAAGAGAUUAUUGCGAUACAUAGUCAUGAAAUGUGGGUUAUCAAAUAAAAGCGACCAUGAUUUGUGUACGCAUCCAAACCUCUUCAAAGAUUUGAUAGGUAGUUUUGAGAGAAGAGAGAAGAAAAGAUCAUUAGAUAUAUGUGACUGGCUUCUCCCCAUUUGCAAAUUGGAAUCUGAAAGCUGAUGCAAAUGAGAUUAAGCGAUCACAAACGCAAAAGUAUUGUUAAUUGGGAUUUGGAUUGAAUUUAUAUAAAAACAAAUUAAUAUUUGAUGAAAUGUAUUUUAAGAUACUUUUUCCUGAGUAUACACUUAAUUGAGAAGUAACGGGACAAACUUAAUUGAGAAGAUAUUAUCAUAUCAUUUGUCAUAACUUAAUCGAAAAAUAAAUAUAUAAAAAUUAAAUCAAGAUUAAAAAUAUUCCUUUUUUUUUUUUAAUUCUAAAUAUAAAAGCUAAAAAAUUUAAUUUAGAUACCGUUUGACCAUACUUAUUUUUGGUCUAAAAGCUACUUUAAAAUAAAGUUAAAAUAAAGUUCUUUAAGUAAAAAGUUUUUUUUUUUUUUUUUUGUGAUGUCCGGGGUUCGAACCUGCGACAUUGCAUAUAUUUAUACAUUGUCUAUAUCAACUGAGCUAAGCUAGAGAAUAGUUUGUUUUUUCUUUUCCAAUUAUACUGUAUAACAAAUUUUGUUAUAAGAAUAUCAUAUUUUUGGUGUCAUACCUGAUACUGCUGUGGGGUACUCCGUGAGAGGUGCCUACAAUUUGUUAUCUAACGGUGAUGUUUCUCAGAUGGGCAUACCUUUUGAGUUGGUUUGACAUCAUCAAGUUCCUUUGAAGGUCUCAGUUUUUGUUUGGAGACUUAUUCAGGAUCGACUACCUACGAAAGCUAACUUGGCUAUUCGUGGUUUAUUCCUGCUGAUGAUAUCUUUUGUGUUUCAGGGUGUGGUCACGUGGAGACGGCCGAUCACUUAUUUCUAUCGUGUUCUACGUUUGCAUCUUUGUGGCAACUGGUGCGCGACUGGAUUGAUUUUUUUGGGGUGGACUCUAAUAUUAUUGCAGAUCACUUGGUGCAGUUUACUCAUAUGACAGGUGUGGGAAAAGCUAAAAGUUCUUUCAGGCGGCUUAAUUGGGAUUUGGAUUGAAUUUAUAUAAAAACAAAUUAAUAUUUGAUGAAAUGUAUUUUAAGAUACUUUUUCCCGAAAUACUUAAUUGAGAAGUAACGGGACAAACUUAAUUGAGAAGAUAUUAUCAUAUCAUUUGUCAUAACUUAAUCGAAAAGUAAAUAUAUAAAAAGUAAAUCAAGAUUAAAAAUAUUCCUUUUUUUUUUUAAUUCUAAAUAUGAAAGCUAUGAAACUUAAUUUAGGUAUAAAAUCAAGUCACUUUUUAGGCAAUGUCUAACGUAUCCUUACGAAAAUAUAUACAGUGUGAUUUGAUUGGAUAGACAUGUUAUUUUACACAGUAUUUAUUUAAAAUUCACAAUUUUUCUCUAGCACUAAAUUAGAUUUAGAACUUAUUUUAUUUAUGGCAAACAAAGAGUAUAUACUUUAACAUAGGCAUGGCUGCAAUAAGUGAUGGGCAUAGUUUGUUUGGGAUGAAAACUGAACCGAACCGAACUGAAUUAUUUAUUAAAUUUAAAAUAAUUGAACUGAAUCAAACGGUUUGUAUUUUAAACUGAACCGAACUGUUCCAAAUGGAACCAAACUGUUAUUAUUGACACCAUUAAAAAAUAUAUAUAAAAAAAAAAAAACCAAAUGAAAUCAAAUUUUAGUUAGUGAACUGAACUGAACUAUUUUGAACUGAACCGAACUAUUUCAAUUUUAGUUAAUGGACUGAACUGAACUAAAGCUAAGAAUAUACCGAAUAAUAUUCAUGAUAAGUACAAAAUAAGCGACAUCAUUAUUUUUUUAUAAGUAUUCACUUUUAGCGUAGGUUUGAAGGCACUAAUUUUUUUGUCCUCUAGACUGGAAUAAAUGACUUAGCAUCUUUACCAUCAUCGACAUAACUCUGAUACUGCCUAUAUAUCUCUCAAGAGUGUUUUAAAGAUUGCUACACAUCUUAAUGCAGCACCACUAUUGAUAGGAGCAAUGUUGGAGUCUUUUGAAUCAGGAUCAACUAGGUGGCUCAAAGCUUGUAAGCUUAGGUGGCUUAGCAUAUGCUGGGUUAACAUUGAAACGGUCAGAGUAAACAAGUUGAGUUAGAAUUUCAGCAUAAUAGGUCUAACUAUACUUGAUCCUGGUGGCCUUCUUCUUAGAAGUUCAACCAACACCUCUGCCUUUGGAGGUUGGAGUCUUUAAGAUCAUAAACCAAUAUCGAGUCCGAGGAUGGGUCAUUUACAUACAAUUUUGUACCAAUAACCUCUUAUGUCCAUGACUUUAUGUUAUUUCGUUAUUUUACACGUUGAACUAUGUUUACUUAAUUUUUUUUCUAAUGCUAUUCAUCAUGAGAACCCUCCAAAGAAGGUAUUGAAACACAGUCUCGAACAAUUCGAAUUAUAUAAUCCGAACGGUUAUUGAGAUUUUCGGCAUAUAUAUUCUGAGCCAUCCCAGAUUAUGGAUGAUGGCAUUACACCAAAGGUUUUGACGGUUUGUGGUGUGUUUAAUGUAUUUUUGGUCGGUUUAGGCAUCGUAAACGUAUCCUUUGAAUGUAGUUACAGUCUAGGAUAAUUUUAUGGCUAUAAAUAGUCUUGCAUGUUAUAACAUAUUAAUUCAUUCUUCACUUCUCAUCCUUUCUUACUUUUUCUAUCUCUUUUUUCAGUUAUGAGUGUUUAUGAUAUCAUGAUCGUUGCGAACCAUACGACGGUCAACAUGGACCUUUGAUAUCGAUUACGAGAUAUUUUCGUUGUUUUGCUAGGUUUCAAAUUAUAUAAUGAAAACCCCCCUACAAUCUCCUUCGGAUUUCAUAAUUAGAAAAGAGGGGGUUUUAAUAAUAUAAUAUUUAAUGUUUUUUUUUAAGUUCAAUAUUUUUUUUAGGGAACAAUACUUUAGUUUUUAUCAGGCCUAAUUUGUAAGAUUAAAAUUGAGUUUUACUUUUCCCAUCCUAUGCCUUUCCUUGCGCGCCCUAUUUUUUUCCAAAAUUAUCCUCAUACAUUCUAGAUUAUAUAAUUCAGAUUGCACCAGUACACAUAACUGAAAUAGAUUUGCAUGUCAUUGUCGUUUUUAUCAUUGUGUUUCAAAGUGUCUUUUAGCAACCCACACCUUAAGGUGUGAUUUCCACUUUUUAGUAUAACUUUGGUAAAAGACAUCUUCAUAAAAGGUGUCUUCUAGCAAAACCUAUAUAUAUAUAUAUAUAUAUAUAUAUAUAUAUAUAUAUAUAUGUGUGUGUGUGUGUGUGUGUGUGUGUGUGUGAGAGAGUUUUGCUAGAAGCCAUCGCUGGAGAUGUAUUUUAGCAAUCCACACCUCAAGGUGUGAUUUUCACUUUUUAGUUAUAACUUUGCUAAAAGACACCUUCAUAAAAGGGAUGUAUAUAUAUAUAUAUAUAUAUAUAUAUCUAAUAUAUGGCGCCGAAAGAUCAAUGGGACUAUCAUCCACUUCACACAAGGACCAUGACCAACCCUCUCAUCCGGAUCAAGAUUUUCAAUAACGUACAAUUCUUCGUCUUCUUCUAUCACGUCUACACCCGUCGCCCGACUUAGCUCAUUAUAAUCUGUCAUCCGGCUGACAUAACUAUCAGGCCAUGUGUCUGCAUCCUCUCAAUGGUAUCGUCUCCAUAGAGCGGAAGUGGGAGGAAUCAGACAAUCAUCCUUCAAAUCAAAUGCCUUAAAAUGGUUGUCAUUCGCAUAUGCCAGACACAUUAACGGAUCGAUACUUGGCGGCAACGGUGGACCACAUAGAGGGAAAUAGGUUUAUGAUUUCCCAAUGGACAACACAACAACCGUUUGGUUGAAUUUUUGUGCGAUGAGGAAACCCAUAUCCGGCAUGGUCAUCCAUUUAUCCCAUGGUGCAUUCCCAAUACCUCCAUAGGAUAGAGCGUCUUAGACCUCUUUAUACCUCCUAUCAUCAUUAAUCAUCCUCCGAUAGCGGGCAUUUUCUACACUGACAAGCUCUUUGUAAAGGUUGUACCGGAUUAGUUGGUGAUCAUCAACAGUCAAGUUAUGUAGGACCGCAACUGCUGGAACCCACAAUGGCCAUCACCGGGUACAUCCCUAACCUUUUCAAUAAAGUCAUGCAUCCAAAUUGGGAUUUGGUCUUUGUGUGGUAUAUAGACUUUAACGGGUGUUGACUUCUUCGGAUUUUUGGGAAUUGGCUUAGGAGGAGUAUGAGACAUGUUGCUUUUCCGUGCACUCUUUCUACUCGUCCCUGUUGAUUUUGUCAGUGAACCCUGUGUCUCUUGCUCCUGGGAGUCAACAAUCUCCCAUAGGGAAGGGGACCGCCUUGUCGAUCGAAUGCUUUGCUUAUCUUUCUUUGGAGCUCCUUUGGUGGUGAACUUAUUUGGCGGUGGACGCAUAGAGGUGGUCUCUGGUAAAACAAAUUUUCGAAAUUGUUCCUUUAUAUGCAACUUCAUGUUGUAAUCGGCGUCCUUGAAUCGAGCCUGCAAUGUGUAAAAAAACUGUCAUUUUGGUUGUUGCUGGAAAAUAGGCAGAAACAUGCAUUCUAGUAUGUGCACUGAUACGGUCCGGAUUUCAAAAUCCGGGACGCAUAUGCAAAUCCGGAACUUCCCGAUACACCCUUUGCAUGAGCCUUAAAUGCACUUGCAUGGGGCGUAAAUGCUACCCUUUCGGAUUAUAUAAUCCGAAAUUCAACUAUGUUGUCCGUAUUAUAUAAUCCGGAUUACACCAGUACAGAAAAUUAAAACAGAAAUUCUGGGCAGAAGCUAAAGUAACACAAUGAGAACGGGCAUGAAUGCAGAAGAGCUCGACCGAGGUGCCAUAUUGGUCUUUCUCCAUCUCAAGAACAAUAGGAAUGUGAUUCUUAAAGUUUGAAACAGCGAGGGAAGGAUAAAACUCGAUUUUGGAGGUUGCCGAUGAGGAGGAGGUUUGUGUCAUCUUGCCGGAAUUACAAUUAGAAAAAUUUGUGUUUUGUCGUUGCUGUUGUUGUCGCUGUGAUCGGAAUUACGAUUAGAAACCUUUGUUGUUUGUACUUAAUAUUUGUGUCAUUAUUCUCCCUUAAAAUUUCUGUAUUACAUUUGUCAACCUAAUUUUCCUGCAAUGUAUGACACUAUUAUGAAUGGAAUAGUUGGUUUUGGAUAUCAAUUUUCAUCUUCUGGUUGACAAUGUUGGGAUUGGUUUAAGAUUAUAUCUGUAUAUUAAUUAUUUGGUUUAAGUAUAAGAAAUUGUGAUUUUUAGAAUAUUUGGUUUGAUCUGAUUAUGCUCUUCAUCAAGCUACUACUUGGAGCUCUAUAGAAAGGUGUGUUGUUUACUUGUUUCAACUCAUUUAUCCAGAAUUAUUCCUCCCCAUUAACAUCCUUGAUCCAUAAACAAUGUCUUAAUGUUGAAACACCAUGUUAGGAGUCACACGUUAGUAAGUUAAAUGGAUCUCUCAUCAAAUGGGACAAUCUUUUGGAUUCGGCUCUCCUUGAAGCGUACCCGCCUAACAUUCCUAACAUUGAUGCUUUUGUUGAGAGAGUUAACUUCUCAAACAAAUAUGUGGCAACCCACGUAUUCUAACAGGCGAAGGUUCUAACUAGAUAAAGCCGAGUGAAAUGUCAUAACCCUUGAGUGAAAGUCGUCGAGGAUGUCAACUCUCGAAGGAUAGUGCAUUCUUAGGAGUGUCACAUUGAAGAGGCUGCUUAAAAAAAAAAAAAAAAAAACGCGUAUAGUCUAGGUUCUCAACUUCCAAUUAAUGUAGUUGUGCUACUGCUCUAAACUUGUCAAAAGCCUUUGGAUAAAUCCAACCGUUAUGAACAAAUAAAUAGCUUAUAUAUGCAUAUCUGUAUAGCAAAUCAUCUGUGAAAUGAGAUAUCAACAUUGAUUUUGUUCACUUCAGACUUCACAAAAUAGUCACUUUAUUAAGAAAUUUCAUCAUUAUGCUGAUUAAAAUCAAACUUCAUAAAAUUGAUAAACCACAAUUGAUUUCUCAUAAAUCUAGUACAUUAAUCUAAAAGGGGUAUCUUUUAUCCUUGUUUGAGUUCUCUAAAUCUGAAAGCAUAUCAGAUGACAAUCGAAGCAGACGAAGACUUCUCUCCAUUUUAAGUUCUGUGAUGCGUGCAACAGUUGCGUUAUGCUUGUUCAAAUCAACGGUGUUCAGUGUGCUUACAAAGAAUUGAUAUUGUAGCUUUGCAAGUUCCUCAUACUUAGCAAUUUGGUGAUCUAGGUCACCAACAUAUACUCGAUUGAUCUUGUUU
rnacentral:lncRNA from 1 species